ensembl:lncRNA
AUGCCACAAGAAAUUUUACAGAGUUGGCAUGCGUACUACACAAGAUACAGUGCCAGUGAAAAAGGGGUGGCCAUUUUGGUGAAGAGAACGGAACGUUUUAUUUUAAAAAGCCAGGAAAUUGACAGGAACGGGCGUUAUGUAAUCGUGCAGUGUAAUCUGCGAGGUCAGGACUACACACUCGUCAGUGUGUACAACCAUCAAGAAGACACCACAACUCUAGACCUUCUCAUACCCUAUCUGCAGAGAAUGACUGUAGGAACGCUAGUGAUAGGAGGAGAUUUCAAUACCACGUUCAGCAAGAAUGACAGAGCUAAAAGAAUAUUAUCCAGCAACGAGUUCGUUAACCCACAGUUACUGCCCAUUGACCAGCCAAAUCGACAACAUGUUAAACUCAGAAAAUGUGUGGAACGUUUAAUGAGGCAUCUGCAACUGGUGGAUGUAUUUAGGAGAAAACACGGUUAUGCACGCAAUGAUGAUGCAUGUUUCACAUUUAUGAGGUGUGACAGAACAGCACAAAACUUUGAGGAAUUCCAAGACACAAUCAUCAAGUCCAGGUUGGACUACUUUUUUAUACCUGAGGAAUGGAUGUGCUCUGUCAAAAAAUGUGAAGUUGUUAAUGUGUUCGAGUACCCUGGACGUGCGGUGAGGCCGUUAACAGAACAGGGGAGGCAGCCUGCAACAAGAUCAGACCACAGUCCUCUGUUACUACAGCUGGAUCUCAACAGCCCUGUAAUUAGACACAUAGAAAUAAAAGAGUCUUCUAACCUCCAUGCUCCACAACAAGUCAAUGAUUCUGAACAUAUCAGUGGGGUUGAGAUAGUGGCAGCCAUUCAGUCUGUACAGCUGAGAGACAUAAACAGACCUGGUGUAUAUCCCUUUGUGUACAAGAACUUCAAUGAUGAAGUAAUUAAAAUUUUGAAAGACAAUUACACCAAUCAAAUUAGCAAUGCAUUGCCACGAGAUUUCAAUUCUGCAACAGUCACAGCAGAUGGCUACUACUUUUUCAAUGUUGAUUAUCUUAUCUUAGCAACAAUUCUAGCCUGGCGCAUAGAAGAUUGGGGAGGUGAAAGCGAGACUCAAAUUGAGGAUGGACCUCAAACAGUUCAAUGGCUUCACUUACAUAACUGCCUUCUUGUAAAACUAGAAGGUCACCCAGCUUUCAGUGACUUUGCCAUCCUCGAGCAAAUGUUGAAAGAAAAUGAGAACAAUGAGAAAAUGCUGUGUGAGGGCUGCCCUUUAACACACAUACUGCGCAAAUGUAUUCUGGAAUAUCAGACAAUACAAAGGAUUGGAUAA